rnacentral:lncRNA from 1 species
UUUUUUUUUUUUUUUUUUUGGUCUUUUGUCUUUUUAGGGCCACACCCACGGCAUAUGGAGGGAUCUAAUCGGAGCUGUAGCUGCCGACCUACGCCACAGCCACAGCAGCACUGAAUCCAAGCAGCGUCUGCAACCUACACCACAGCUCAUGGCAACGCUGGAUCCUUAACCCACUGAGCAAGGUCAGGGAUCAAACCCAAAACCAUAUGGUUCCUAGUCAUAUGUGUUUCCACUGCGCCACAAUGGGAACUCCUCACUUCUCUGAUCAAAUUGGUUCUUUGACUGAGGUUUUUCUAUAGAUAAUAAGGCAAGCAAGCGGAGGACAUGAGCAGGGGUCCACUCUGGGAAGUCACCACAGGAUUCAGCUCAGUUACACCAACAGCUCCCAAAGGCUGCAGACCGGCAUCAAAAUCCCAGCUCUGCACUUGCUCCAUUUCAAACCAGGCCUCAAGGAGACCGAGGUGACAAAGACACUGACUAGAGAGGUGGAAAGGGCCACCUGUAUCCCCAGGCUUCCGUCCCUGACUCAAGUGCCAGGGACUUCAACUCUCCAACAAAGAGCCUCAUUCAGUUCUCAAUCCACAGCUGAGUACUUUACAGCCUGGGUUUUCUCCUCUUGAACAGGAUAUCAUCCAAGGAUCCACGUCCAAGGGAUGCAAUGAGAAUUAAAUGCCAUGACACGUUUAAAGUGCUGAAAAGAACAGUAUUGCUGUCUAUCAGCAGGGGCUGGUGGAGCUCUUCCAGAAUGGCUCUUCAAUGCUUUCAAGUUUCGAAAGCAUCCUGACCUUCCAGAACGUGACUUCCUGAGAACAUUUUCACGCAAGGGGCAGGGUCAGUGAGGCAGAAGCCAGCCUCAGUUACAAAGCCUCCCUCCCCAGCCAGAGCUGAGCAGGCGUGGCCUUGUGUAAUCAGCAUAAGGCUUGUGGUUCAGCCUGGGAGCCAAAUUCGGCUUCUUUGUGGGUGAAGAGGUUCUUUCCUAGGCCCUCCAUGGCUGCUUUCCCAUGACACACGAAGGCUGGUCCCGGGCCCUCAGGAUAACUGCUGCCCUGAUGAGCACCUUGUCUUGCUGGAGGAGCACACAAGAUGGCAUCAGGAAGCAAGCGGCUUCCAACCCUCCCAGGAACCAAAAGAGCCCCCUGGAGCUCUGAGGGGAAGCGGGCCUCGGUUGUCUACCACUCCCUGUGCCCCUCUCCCCCCUCACCCUGGCCUGCAGAGCCCUCACGAGCCCCCGCACAGAGCGGGGAGGCCCCGGGCCUGCACCCACAGCCUGCCUUCCCAGCGACUCCUCACCCGGGGUGUCCCAGGGACCUGGGCGGAGUCGGUGGAAGGGGGCCAGAGGAUAGGUGGCUCACCCAGGGAACGUGUGAGUCAAGACCAGCUGGGAGGGAGGGGCAGACGUCAAAGCGCCCCAAGGCCCAGAAGAAAGGGGAGGAGAGCUGGGGAACUUCUGUGCCGCUGGGCCGAGCCAGCAGGCCCUGAAGAGAGUCGCCCCUACAGACGGUCUGGGGCUCUUUCACUCCCCCCCUUCACACCCUUGUUGAACAAGUGUGGCCGCUUAAAGCCUACCUGUGCGGGAGGAUUUUUGUAACUUCCCAGUGGCUUUUGUUACCGGUGUAAAACUACACAGGUCAGCUACAAACCAGCUUGCUUAUCAGGUGACUAGGGCCAGGAAGAUUGCAGGCCUUGGGGUGGGGAAAUCCUAUCUUGCAUGGCUUCCUUCCUUCCUCCCUCUGACUGGGCCCCAGAGGGGUGGGGAGGCCUUGCUGGACCUGGCACCCAGGCAACUGGGCUCCCAGCCAAGUGUCCAGAGGACACCCUUCCUGCCAUCUGGGUCCUUCUCAUCUUCCUGGGGCACAGGGAACAUGAAGCUCCUGCUCUGGAGUCUAAGUGGAAAACACCUGCAUUUCCAAGGCCUCCAAAGACCCUGCUUUAAUGUAGCCUGGCUUCCUGGGAGGAGCUGAGGAAGAACAUUGGUCAGCUUGUCCUGCUGGCAAGAUUCUUAACACCAAGGAUUGAACAGGAGGCUCUAUGUGAAGGUGCCAGCACCCAGCAGGUGCCCAGGGACGUUCUUCCUCAAGCCCCCAGGCCCAGCAAAGCACUAUGUUCAUCAGUAUUAAUCCAGCCUGAGAGUGUCUACACCUGAGCUUUCAUAGUGCCUUCAGUUUAAAAUCUUGAGGAGCUCCCUGGUGGCUCAGUGAUUAAGGACCUGGCAUUGUCACCCCUAUGAGGCAGGUUCGAUCCCUGGCCUAGGGGAGCAAACAGCUGCAUGCCAGGUGUGGCCCCGCCAAAACUAAAACAACUUAAAAAUAAAAAAUAAAAGGAGUUCCUGUUGUGGCUCAGCGGAAAACGAAUCUGACUAGCAUCCGUGAGGACACAGGUUUGAUCCUUGCCCUCGUUCAUUUGGUCAAGGGUCCAGCAUUGCUGUGAGCUGUGAUGUAGGCUGCAGAUGCAUCUCGGAUCUGGCGUGGCUGUGGCUGUAGGCCAAGGGAUACAGCUCUGAUUGGACCCCUAGCUAGGGAGCCUCCGUAUGCCUCAGGUGUGGCCCUAAAAAGAGCAAAAAACCCCACAAAACCCCAAAACAAAACCUUGAUAUGCUUGUGGAACACUGCUUAAUUUGUUUACACCGACGCGACCCAUUUUUUUUCAGGUUCUCAGCCUAUUGUGGAAGGUUGUUGGACCUCCUUUAUAUGCAGAAAGCAGGUCUGUCUUCUUUCAUUUCAUCAUGGCCUCUCCAUCCCCAUCCAGUCCACACACCUGCUAAGCCCCUAGUCACACCAGUUCCCAAGAUGCAAGAAUAAAGAGAAAGGUCCUCAUCUUACUCUGCAGCCUGGUUGGGAAUUUUCCAUUUUACUCUGCAGCC